UGAACGCUGGCGGCGUGCCUACACAUGCAAGUCGAGCGAUUACUUCGGUAAAGAGCGGCGGACGGGUGAGUAACGACGUGGGUAACCUAGCCUCAUACACAGUGGAUAACAUACCGAAAGGUAUGCUAAUACAGGAUAAUAUAAGAGAUUCACAUGGAUUUCUUAUCAAAGCUCCGGCGGUAUGAGAUGGACCCGCGUCUGAUUAGCUAGUUGGUAAGGUAAUGGCUUACCAAGGCGACGAUCAGUAGCCGACCUGAGAAGGUGAUCGGCCACAUUGGAACUGAGACACGGUCCAAACUCCUACGGGAGGCAGCAGUGGGGAAUAUUGCACAAUGGGCGAAAGCCUGAUUGCAGCAACGCCGCGUGAGUGAUGAAGGCCUUCGGGUCGUAAAACUCUGUCCUCAAGGAAGAUAAUGACGGUACUUGAGGAGGAAGCCCCGGCUAACUACGUGCCAGCCGCCGC
rnacentral:rRNA from 1 species